ACUUUACUAUGAUAGAAGUUAUAUAUUGCACCGCGAGAGCGCAGUACUAAGGCAAUUAACAAAGUUCUGUUGCGACUACGUUUGAGGAUAAGGAUUGCAAUGAUACGUAAUUUUUUCUUUUUGGACUAUCAAAUGAUAUUUUUAGGUCCUUUAAGUACAAUGUAAAUAUCGCGAAGUUAAAUCAUGUAAAAGAUUUGGGAAAAGUUUAUUGAAAAGUUCCAGAUGGCUGAUUUAAAAUAAUUAGCUAUUCAAAAAAGGAGUUAAAAAUGUUUAAUAUUUACAAUUAUUAUUGCGAGAUAUAGUAACAAAAGUUGGUAUUUUGUACCAUCAUUCUAAGACUCUUUAAUUGAUCUUUGAAGAGAUGUGAAAGGAACAUCAAAAUCUACGUUUCUACGCAUUUUAUUGGCCAAUAUAAGACGGUGAACGUAUUCCGUAUCUUUGAUAUCUGCGGACGUAUCAAACGCUCGUUUAAUGUAAUUUUUAUUUGAUACCGGCAAAUAUACCGGAUAUUCAAUAUUAAACGAUAUGAUUAGACUUCCUCUUUUCUUCGGACUUUCCGGCAGCGGCAAUCCUUGGCCAGGAUCGAUUCUGUGAAACGUAAAAUAAUUAUUCAGUGAAUGAAACAAAGAGGAGAAGUAGAGAAAGACUGGAUCAGGGGAGGAGACGGUAGACACGUACGUGAUGACAGACGUUAGUGGUAUUCGAAGGGUUCUGUCGUC